CCAAAUACUGAUCCAACCACAACAAUAAUAUACAGCAGUCACCAACAAAUAAAGUCACUAUUAAAGUCACCGACACUUAAGCAUUUUUAACAAAUAAAGUCACCAACGACAUCACCUCCUAAACACUAAUUCACGAUUAAAGUCACCAAAACUUAAUCAUUUUCAACAAAUAAAGUCACCAACAACAUCAUCUUGUAAACACUAAUUCACUAUUAAAGACACCGGCACUUAAGCAUUUUCAACAAAUAAAGUAACCAACAACAUCACCUUCUAAACAAAAGUUCACUUUUAAAGUCACCGGCACUUAAGGAUUUUCAACAAAAAAAGUAACCGACAAAAUCACCUUCUAAACAAAAGUUCACUAUUAAAGUCACCGGCACUUAAGGAUUUUCAACAAAAAAAGUAACCGACAAAAUCACCUUCUAAACAAAAGUUCACUAUUAAAGUCACCAAAAUUUAAGCUUUUUCAACUAACAAAGGCACCAAUGAAACUAAUUCAGUACUAAAGUAACCAAAACUUAAGAAUUGUCAAUAAACAAAGUCACCACCAACAUCACCUCCUAAAUACUAGUUCACUAUUAAAGUCACCAAAACUUAAGCUUUUUCAACUAAAAAAGGCACCAACGAAACUAAUUCACUAUUAGGCAUCAACGAAACUAAUUCACUAUUAAAGUCACCAUAACUUAAGCAUUUUCAACAAAUAAAGUCACCAAUAACAUUACCUUCUAAACACUAAUUCACUAUUAAAGUCACCGGCACUUAAGUAUUUUCAACAAAUAUAGUAACCAGCAACAUCACCUUCUAAACAAAAGUUCGCUUUUAAAGUCACCGGCACUUAAGCAUUUUAAACAAAUAAAGUGACCAACAACAUCACCUUCUAAACAAAAGUUCACUAUUAAAAUCACCGGCACUUAAGCAUUUCAACAAAUAAAGUAACCAACUACAUCACCUUCUAAACAAAAGUUCACUUUUAAAGUCACCAAAACUUAAGCAUUUUCAACUAAUAAAGUCACCAACCACAUCACCUCCUAAACACUAAUUCACUAUUAAAGUCACCAAAACAUAAGCAUUUUCAACAAAUAAAGUCACCAACAACAUCACCUUCUAAACACAAGCUCACUAUUAAAGUCACCAGAACUUAAGCUUUUUAAACUAACAAAGGCACCAACGAAACUAAUUCACUAUUAAAGUCACCAAAACUUAAGCAUUUUCAACUAAUAAAGUCACAAACUACAUCACCUCCUAAACACUAAUUCACUAUUAAAGUCACCGGCACUUAAGCAUUUUCAACAAAUAAAGCAACCAACAACAUCACCUUCUAAAAAAAAGUUCAGUUAUAAAGUCACCAAAAUUUAACCAUUUUCAACUAAUAAAGUCACAAACUACAUCACCUCCUAAACACUAAUUCACUAUUAAAGUCACUAAAACUUAAGCAUUUUCAAAAAAUAGAGUCACCAACAACAUCGACUUCUAAACAGUAGUUCACUAUUAAAGUCACCAAAACUUAAGCUUUUUCAACUAACAAAGGCACCAACAAAAAAAGUUCACUAUUAAAGCUACCGGCACUUAAGCAUUUUCAACAAACAAAGUAACCAACAAAAUCACCUUAUAAAUAAAAGUUAACUUUUAAAGUCACUGGCACUUAAACAUUUUCAACAAAUAAAGUAACCAACAGCAUCACCUUCUAAACAAAAGUUCACUACUAAAGUCACCGGCACUUAAGCAUUUUCAACAAAUAAAGUCACCAACAACAUCACCUCCAAAACACAAGUUCACUAAUAAAGUCACCAAAACUUAAGCUUUUUCAACUAACAAAGGCACCAACGAAACUAAUUCACUAUUAAAGUCACCAAAAUUUAAGCAUUGUCAACAAAUAAAGUCACCAACAACAUCACCUUCUAAACACUAAUUCACUAUAAAAGUCACCGGCACUUAAGCAUUUUCAACAAAUAAAGUAACCAACAACAUCACCUUCUAAACAAAAGUUUACUUUUAAAGUCACCGGAGCUUAAGCUUUUUUAACAAAUAAAGUAACCAAUAACAUCACCUUCUAAACAAAAGUUCACUAUUAAAGUCACCGGCACUUAAGCAUUUUCAACAAAUAAAGUAACCAACAACAUCACCUUCUAAACAAAAGUUCACUUUUAAAGUCACCAAAAUUUAAAACUUUUCAUCUAAUAAAGUUACCAACCACAUCACCUCCUAAACACUAAUCACUAUUAAAGUCACUAAAACUUAAGAUUUUCAGCAAAUAAAGUCAUCAACAAUAUCACCUUCAAAACACUAGUUCACUAUUAAAGUCACCAAAACUUAAGGUUUUUCAACUAACAAAGGCACCAACGAAAAAAGUUCACUAUUAAGCCCACCGGCACUUAUGCACUUUCAACAAAUAAAGUAUCCAACAACAUCACCUUAAAAAUAAAAGUUCACUUUUAAAGUCACCGGCACUUAAGCAUUUUCAACAAAUAAAGUAACAAACAACAUCACCUUCGAAACAAAAGUUCACUAUUAAAGUCACCGGCACUUAAGCAUUUUUAACAAAUAAAGUCACUAACAACAUCACUUUCUAAACACUAGUUCACUAUUAAAGUCACCAAAACUUAAGCUUUUUCAACUAACAAAGGCACCAACGAAACUAAUUAACUGUUAAAGUCACAAAAACUUAAGCAUUUUCAACAAAAAAAGUCACCAACAACAUCACCUUCUAAACACUAAUUCACUAUUAAAGAAACCGGCACUUAAUCAUUUUCAACAAAUAAAGUAACCAACAACAUCACCUUCUAAACAAAAUUUCACUUUUAAAGUCACCGGCACUUAGGCAUUUUCAACAAAGAAAGUAACCAACAACAUCACCUUCUAAACAAAAGUUUACUUUUAAAGUCACCAAAAUUUAAGCAUUUUCAACUAAUAAAGUCACCAACCACAUCACCUCCUAAACACUAAUUCACUAUUAAAAUCACCAAAACUUAAGCUUUUUCAACUAACAAAGGCUCCAACGAAACUAAUUCACUAUUAAAGUCACCAAAACUUAAGCAUUUUCUACAAAUAAAGUCAACAACAACAUCACGUUAUAAACAAAUGUUCACUUUUAAAGUUAUCGGCACUUAAGCAUUUUCAACAAAUAAAGUAACCAACAACAUCACCUUCUAAACAAAAUUUCACUAUUAAAGUCACCGGCACUUAAGCAUUUUCAACAAAUAAAGUCACCAACAACAUGACCUCCUAAACACUAGUUCACUAUUAAAGACACCAAAACUUAAGCUUUUUCAACUAACAAAGGCACCAACGAAACUAAUUCACUAUUAAAGUCACCAAAACUUAAGCAUUUUCUACAAAUAAAGUCACCAACAACAUCACCUUCUAAACACUAAUUCACUAUUAAAGAAACCGGCACUUAAUCAUUUUCAACAAAUAAAGUAACCAACAACAUCACCUUCUAAACAAAAUUUCACUUUUAAAGUCACCGGCACUUAGGCAUUUUCAACAAAGAAAGUAACCAACAACAUCACCUUCUAAACAAAAUUUCACUUUUAAAGUCACCGGCACUUAGGCAUUUUCAACAAAGAAAGUAACCAACAACAUCACCUUCUAAACAAAAUUUCACUUUUAAAGUCACCGGCACUUAGGCAUUUUCAACAAAGAAAGUAACCAACAACAUCACCUUCUAAACAACAACAUCACCUUCUAAACACUAGUUCACUAUUAAAGUCACCAAAACUUAAGCUUCUUCAACUAACAAAGGCACCAACGAAAAAAGUUCACUAUUAAAGUCACCGGCACUUGAGCAUUUUC
rnacentral:lncRNA from 1 species